ACGGCCGUACCAUGCUAGAAUAUACCGGUUCUCGUUAGAUCACCGAAGUCAGCAUCAUUGGGCGCGGUCGGUAGCUAGGGUGGGUGACCACCUGGGAACACUGCGUGCCGUU
rnacentral:rRNA from 1 species